rnacentral:misc_RNA from 1 species
CUUGGAAAAUAAAUUCAUGACUAUUCCCAGCGGUGAGCUCAAUCGAAUCGUGGCCGUCCAAUCCAGGAAUCACAAUGUCCACCGCACGAGAGUCCCUGCAAGGCUCACCUCCAGGAGCAAGCCACUUAGAAAGAAGAUUUGAAGUCAAACGUGGAUCUAAUUCGGUUGAUACCCACUUUACAAUCGCUUCUGAUUCGUACUCCUUCAGCUUCUCCAGAAACCCAUCCGAAGAAUUCUGAGCAGAAACGUUAUUAUCAUCUGA